GAUGAAGAACGCAGUGAAAUGCGAUAAGUAAUGUGAAUUGCAGAAUUCAGUGAAUCAUCGAAUCUUUGAACGCACCUUGCACCCUUUGGUAUUCCGAAGGGUACACCCGUUUGAGUGUCAUUGUAAUCUCACUUCUACAACUUUUUUGUUGUCGAAUGUGGACUUGGACGUCUGCUGUGUUUUGACGGCUCGUCUCAAAUGACUGAGUGUACCCUGCUUUGCGGCGUAUUCGGUGUGAUAAACAUUUCACCGGAGUUUGGUCUCCUGACCGCGCUUUUGCAAUCGGUGGGCUCUAUGCUUUCCAACCGUCCCUCGUGGACAAUCUUUGACAAUUUGACCUCAAAUCGGGUGGGACUACCCGCUGAACUUAAGCAUAUCAAUAAGCGGAGGA
rnacentral:misc_RNA from 1 species